rnacentral:rRNA from 1 species
CUUUCUUUGCUGGCGACCGGCGCACGGGUGAGUAACACGUAUCCAACCUGCCCUUUACUCGGGGAUAGCCUUUCGAAAGAAAGAUUAAUACCCGAUAGUAUAAUGAUUCCGCAUGGUUUCAUUAUUAAAGGAUUCCUGUAAAGGAUGGGGAUGCGUUCCAUUAGGUUGUUGGUGAGGUAACGGCUCACCAAGCCUUCGAUGGAUAGGGGUUCUGAGAGGAAGGUCCCCCACAUUGGAACUGAGACACGGUCCAAACUCCUACGGGAGGCAGCAUG